GACGAACGCUGGCGGCGUGCUUAACACAUGCAAGUCGAACGGUGAAGCGCUUUCCUUUUUGGUUGGUGUGGAUGAGUGGCGAACGGGUGAGUAACACGUGAGUAACCUGCCCCCUUCUUCUGGAUAACCGCAUGAAAGUGUGGCUAAUACGGGAUAUUCUGCGCCUGCUGCAUGGUGGGUGUGGGAAAGAUUGUGCCUUUGGGUGUUUUCGGUGGGGGAUGGGCUCGCGGCCUAUCAGCUUGUUGGUGGGGUGAUGGCCUACCAAGGCGGUGACGGGUAGCCGGCCGGAGAGGGUGGAGGGUCACACUGGGACUGAGACACGGCCCAGACUCCUACGGGAGGCAGCAGUGGGGAAUAGUGCACAAGGGGCGCAAGCCUGAUGCAGCGACGCCGCGUGAGGGAUGGAGGCCUUCGGGUUGUGAACCUCUUUCGCCAGUGAAGCAGGCCUGCUCCUUGUGGGUGGGUUGACGGUAGCUGGAGAAGAAGCGCCGGCUAACUACGUG
rnacentral:rRNA from 1 species